UACGUAGGGUCCGAGCGUUUGUCCGGAAUUACUGGGCGUAAAGAGCUCGUAGGUGGUUUGUCGCGUUGUUCGUGAAAACUCACAGCUUAACUGUGGGCGUGCGGGCGAUACGGGGCAGACUUGAGUACUGCAGGGGAGACUGGAAUUCCUGGGUGUAGCGGUGGAAUGCGCAGAUAUCAGGAGGAACACCGGUGGGCGAAGGCGGGUCUCUGGGCAGUAAACUGAC
rnacentral:rRNA from 1 species